rnacentral:rRNA from 1 species
CUAAGAUCAAGAAGUCGUCGUAAUUAUGACAAGUCGAGCGGGGGAAGGUAGCUUGCUACUGGACCUAGCGGCGGACGGGUGAGUAAUGCUUAGGAAUCUGCCUAUUAGUGGGGGACAACAUCUCGAAAGGGAUGCUAAUACCGCAUACGUCCUACGGGAGAAAGCAGGGGAUCUUCGGACCUUGCGCUAAUAGAUGAGCCUAAGUCGGAUUAGCUAGUUGGUGGGGUAAAGGCCUACCAAGGCGACGAUCUGUAGCGGGUCUGAGAGGAUGAUCCGCCACACUGGGACUGAGACACGGCCCAGACUCCUACGGGAGGCAGCAGUGGGGAAUAUUGGACAAUGGGGGGAACCCUGAUCCAGCCAUGCCGCGUGUGUGAAGAAGGCCUUAUGGUUGUAAAGCACUUUAAGCGAGGAGGAGGCUACUUUAGUUAAUACCUAGGGAUAGUGGACGUUACUCGCAGAAUAAGCACCGGCUAACUCUGUGCCAGCAGCCGCGGUAAUACAGAGGGUGCGAGCGUUAAUCGGAUUUACUGGGCGUAAAGCGUGCGUAGGCGGCUUAUUAAGUCGGAUGUGAAAUCCCCGAGCUUAACUUGGGAAUUGCAUUCGAUACUGGUGAGCUAGAGUAUGGGAGAGGAUGGUAGAAUUCCAGGUGUAGCGGUGAAAUGCGUAGAGAUCUGGAGGAAUACCGAUGGCGAAGGCAGCCAUCUGGCCUAAUACUGACGCUGAGGUACGAAAGCAUGGGGAGCAAACAGGAUUAGAUACCCUGGUAGUCCAUGCCGUAAACGAUGUCUACUAGCCGUUGGGGCCUUUGAGGCUUUAGUGGCGCAGCUAACGCGAUAAGUAGACCGCCUGGGGAGUACGGUCGCAAGACUAAAACUCAAAUGAAUUGACGGGGGCCCGCACAAGCGGUGGAGCAUGUGGUUUAAUUCGAUGCAACGCGAAGAACCUUACCUGGCCUUGACAUACUAGAAACUUUCCAGAGAUGGAUUGGUGCCUUCGGGAAUCUAGAUACAGGUGCUGCAUGGCUGUCGUCA